rnacentral:rRNA from 1 species
GUGGGGAAUUUUGGACAAUGGGCGCAAGCCUGAUCCAGCAAUGCCGCGUGCAGGAAGAAGGCCUUCGGGUUGUAAACUGCUUUUGUACGGAACGAAAAGGCUCUGGUUAAUACCUGGGGCUCAUGACGGUACCGUAAGAAUAAGCACCGGCUAACUACGUGCCAGCAGCCGCGGUAAUACGUAGGGUGCAAGCGUUAAUCGGAAUUACUGGGCGUAAAGCGUGCGCAGGCGGUUUUGUAAGACAGGCGUGAAAUCCCCGGGCUCAACCUGGGAAUGGCGCUUGUGACUGCAAGGCUGGAGUGCGGCAGAGGGGGAUGGAAUUCCGCGUGUAGCAGUGAAAUGCGUAGAUAUGCGGAGGAACACCGAUGGCGAAGGCAAUCCCCUGGGCCUGCACUGACGCUCAUGCACGAAAGCGUGGGGAGCAAACAGGAUUAGAAACCCUAGUAGUCC